UACGAAGGGGGCUAGCGUUGCUCGGGCUUACUGGGCGUAAAGCGCACGUAGGCGGACUUUUAAGUCGGGGGUGAAAUCCUGGAGCUCAACUCCAGAACUGCCUUCGAAACUGAAAGCCUUGAGUUCGGGAGAGGUGAGUGGAACUGCGAGUGUAGAGGUGAAAUUCGUAGAUAUUCGCAAGAACACCAGUGGCGAAGGCGGCUCACUGGCCCGAUACUGACGCUGAGGUGCGAAAGCGUGGGGAGCAAACAGG
rnacentral:rRNA from 1 species